UGCAUCUUCAUGGAUCCUAGUCGGAUUUGUUUCUGCUGAGCCACGAGGCCAGCACCCAUCUCUGCCACAUUCUAGAUUCCACAUAUAAUAGCUCCUUGCCAUCUGCUUCUCCAACUUCAGCUUCAGGAACCUACUUUGGUUUUCGGGUGACCAAGAAAAUUUCUCCCUUUCUCAAAAGAAGAGUCAACCACACAGCGUACGUGCCUCACCAAGGAAUUCAUCUGAAUUUCUAGAUCUCUUGCUUACUUAGAGACAGAACUCAAUUAAUUAUGUGCCAAUUAGUUAUUAGUUGCCUAAGAAAUUGCAAAAGACUAUGCCCCAGGCUUUGAUGGAGCACAGUUUCUUAGUGCAGUUUCUCAAAAUAUAAAUCAAGGGCAAAGGUUUAUAAUCAAAUUUCAUAAGUUUAGAAAUCAGUUUUGCUUUGAAAUCAACAUAAUUUGAUCUCAGGCAUUUCUUGGGACUAGAGGAAACAUUUUUACUUCAUGUUGUUUGCCUAAAAAGAAGAGUCAAAAAAACAAAAACUCUCUGGAAGAUCUACAUUCCCCAGAUUCAUCUUAACUAGUGAAGAUGAACGAAAACAUCUGUCCAGUCCCCUCUUUAAAGAUCUUCGUAGGAGGAAUUCUGGGCAUGUGAAAGGAGUCAAGGUCACAGUGUAGGCCUCCGUCUACCAUCCUGCCAGGUCUGCAAGGAACUCAGGGCGUUGCAAGGAACUCAGUUCUGGCGUCCUGCUAAGGAUAAGUAGAAGGCAUUGACUCUUCACUAUGUGGUUGCUUUCAACAAAAUUUAUGAGAAAGCAAAAGGAAGUUUCUAAACUACUGCCAGAUG
rnacentral:lncRNA from 1 species